CUCCAUUGAUGUGCUAUUCACACGUAGCAGAAGGAUGGUAGAACUUGACUUUGGAUGAAAAGGAUGGAUGUUCCUCAACUCAUCAGCAUGUCCUGUCAUUUGCUCCUUUCACAUUGAUGGCAGGGUCUCACUGUGUAGCCCUGGCUGGUCUGGAAGUGGCUAUAUAGACAAAGCCAGAUCUGAACUAACAAUAUCUGUCUACCUUUGCCUCACAGCAACAUCACGGUGCCUUAACUUUAGACUGUGAACCAGCCCAGAGAAGAGGCCAAAAGGCCUGCUGGUGGAUAACAGAUUGGAAUAUUAGCCUGAAGACCAGACUCAUUUGGUGCCGUGCAGUCAGUUCAGCCAGGCAACUGUCAAUGAAUAGAGCUUUGCAAUGGAUAUAUCUCCCUUGGCUGGAUGAAGACACAGAAGGGCCUUUUAAACUCGUUUUCAUCCCUCCCUCCAUCCCUCCUAUUUUUCUCUCCUUGUGUGCACAUAUGUGAGUGUAUCUACCAUGAUACAUACUUGCAGAGCUCAGAAUACAGGAGUUAGUUCUCUUCCCACUCUGUAGGUUCUGGGAUUUGAACUUAGGUUGUCAGGCUUGACUUCGCAGCAAGUGGCUUUACCCUUUGAUCCAAAUUGCUGGGCCUCUAUGGGCACCAUUUCAAGGCAGUUAUCCCAUAGAGAAACCAAAGACAGAAAACAGUUUCCCUUGAGAUCCCGGAGCUCUGCAAGGUGAGCUCCGUUUCUGGAGUUCCGAGUACUCUGUCCCUUGAGGACCCCUUGCUCGCACACCGCCAAGGUCAGUCAGCUGGAAUCUCGGUAACCCUAGCAUUCUUUUUGAAAGACUUU